rnacentral:misc_RNA from 1 species
GAAAUGCGAUACGUAAUGCGAAUUGCAGAAUUCAGUGAAUCAUCAAAUCUUUGAACGCAAAUUGCGCUUCCUGGAUAGGCCAGGGAGCAUGCCUCUUUGAGCAUCGUUUCUACCCCAUCUCGACUGCUUGUUGUUGUAAUGACAAUGGGUCAGGCGGAGAAUGAGAGUCUUGCUCGAAAGAGUAAGUCUCUUUAAGAAGCGUGAGUUCCUAAACUCCUAGAUACAAACCUUUUUAUCGGUUUAUUUUCUAGUGACAUGGAUAAUCUUUUAUUUUAUGUCAUUGGAGAGCAAACUGAUUUGAAGGUCUGGGUAAACUGGACUCGUCAGAAAAUUAACAAUUUUUGAAUUAGAUCUCAAAUGAAGCAAGAAUACCCGCUGAACUUAA